AGAACGAACGCUGGCGGCAGGCUUAACACAUGCAAGUCGAACGGUUGUAGCAAUACAGCAGUGGCGCACGGGUGAGUAACGCGUGGGAACAUACCUUAGAGUUCGGAAUAACAGCGGGAAACUGCUGCUAAUACCGGAUAUUCUCCUCGGAGGAAAGAUUUAUCGCUCUAAGAUUGGCCCGCGUCAGAUUAGCUAGUUGGUGGGGUAAUGGCCUACCAAGGCUCCGAUCUGUAGCUGGUCUGAGAGGACGACCAGCCACACUGGAACUGAGACACGGUCCAGACUCCUACGGGAGGCAGCAGUGGGGAAUAUUGGACAAUGGGCGAAAGCCUGAUCCAGCCAUGCCGCGUGAGUGAUGAAGGCCUUAGGGUUGUAAAGCUCUUUUGUCAGGGAGAUAAUGACGGUACCUAGAAGAAUAAGCACCGGCUAACUUCGCGCCAGCAGCCGC
rnacentral:rRNA from 1 species